rnacentral:rRNA from 1 species
GUCCACGCCCUAAACGAUGUCAACUGGUUGUUGGACGGCUUGCUGUUCAGUAACGAAGCUAACGCGUGAAGUUGACCGCCUGGGGAGUACGGCCGCAAGGUUGAACUCAAGGAAUUGACGGGGACCCGCACAAGCGGUGGAUGAUGUGGUUUAAUUCGAUGCAACGCGAAAACCUUAACCUACCCUUGACAUGUCAAGAAUUUUGCAGAGAUGUGAAAGUGCUCGAAAGAGAGCUUGAACACAGGUGCUGCAUGGCCGUCGU